ensembl:lncRNA novel transcript
ACAGUGAAAGCACAAAACAUCAAGCCAACAGUUCAGGACUAGUCAUUCAAAUGGACUAAAGACGCCAAGAACCUGGACACCCUCCACCGGUAACAUAUUUUGGCGAGCCAGACAAGAGGACCCUUGGUGGGCAGUGCCUAAACAGAGACAACUACAGGUUUCUGGCUGUGGCCACUCUCUGGUGAAACUAAGGGGUUUCUGUGUGGAGGUGCCUAACAGCCACCGUCCAGUUUGGUAGUAUGAUGCCUCUGGCUUCCCUCUAUCACACGUCUUCUUUUCGAGUAAAGGUUUUUCAUAAAUGUGAGCGUGGAAGAAGAAACCAGUUAAAUAUGGAACUUCACACCAGGACACAAAAGAUGGUGUCAGAAGCGGAUCCGAAGUGGAACUUUUAGUGACCCUCAGGAGCACUGAAUGAACAUGCAAGGAACCUGCAGGACCCACUUGUGUCCAUUGAUCUCUGGGAGCAGCUGGGAUAAGCUCCUUUUCGGAUUUCAGAGCUCCAUGGACUUGUGUCUUGAGAUCCCUGAGUUUCUUUGAGCAAAUUUCUGAUCCAAAAUGGGUUUGGCAUCAUGGCAGAAACAGGACUGGGUCCACGAAUGGAUUUGAUCCAGGAAUGAACUGGCUUGGAUCCAGUCAGAGGUCUCUUACAUCUGACUGGGUCAGAAAGGAACUGGUAGUAAGCAGUAAUAUUGCAGAGGUUAUAACAUUUGGCUUUUAAAAAAUAACAGGAAUUUUUGUGUUCUACCUCCUAUGUUAAAUUUUUCUUGUAUACUUAGGUAGAAAAAAGUCAUUGGCUAAGUUAAUCAAGAGAACCUGAGAGUAAAGCCAAUAUUUUAGGUAAAAAUGAGAUCCUUAAUUUCUGGGAAACUGAGUUCAUUCUGGUUUAUACUUUAAGCCUGGGAGGCAGCGAAGUCUUGCGGCAAAAUCUUACAAAAGAUAACUUACAGGGGAACGCUGCAAAUGAACAACAAUGCAUUGAAGUAAAUUUAAAAAUGAUGGUUCUCGGUAAAUUCCCAUUGGCUAAGAAUGGAUUUGGCACUUCGGGAUGUCAACUGCUAUUCUCUUUGGAAUAAUCUGUCUUGCACUCUUUGAUGACGACUAUGGGUGACAGGAUUAGGGAUUUACAGGAUCCUGGGACAUGGG